UCACGUAGGUGGGGCCGCGCUGGUCGCAGUCGAAGCACUUUCGGUUGUGCGGGAGGCCGGUCAUGUCCCGCAGCAUCUUCAGAUGAAGCAACCUUGAAUCUAAAUGCCAGCAAUAUUGGGCUAUAUAAAGACAUCAUGAUUCUCUUUGAUACAAAGUCUGAUGCCUGAGGCCCGGUGAAACUGUAAAACUCUGAAUCUGAGACAGGAGAGGAAAUCUCACACAAAAUGACAGUACAGACUCGAUGUACUCAGAGGCCUUAUGCUCCUUAAGGAAAAUGAAGGUCAGGCAUGGUAUCAUUUCAACAUCUCUCCUGCCAUGGCACCGCUACAAACAGACUGGACUAGGAGAAGACAUUUUAAGAUGCAUCAAGCUACAAGGCUGGUGCAGCCAGUCGGCCACCAACUAGGAAGCAUUUCAUGGAAUAAUGUUUAG
rnacentral:lncRNA from 1 species